AACGCCACCGCUCCUACCGCUCCGGGACUGGCUUUCGGGGAAACAAGUGGCCAUAUGCUCGCCGAAUUCUCACAAAACUGGGAGCUCUGACCCCGGGAGGAAAGCCACGUGCGCGAUGCGGAUACGUGGAUGUGUCUUUAAGAAAGGUAAUCGAGAAGAAACCACAAGGAGUCCUUUCUCCUGCAGACAAAUACGGUAAUUACACAGGGAAAUCCAAAGGGGAAAAAAAAAUGCCUCAUAUUUUCUGUCUGCUAUUUAAAGAGGAAGAGCUUUCUUUUAUCCCCAGGAGAUUUUUGUUUCUUUGUUUUGGGAAUUGGGAACCUGACUUUGCACAACACGGAAAACACAACUUGAAUGAAGUACCAGGAACUACUUAAAAAACUGCCAGAACUGUAGAAAUGACCAGGGUGGGGGUUGGGGAAGGUUAAAAGAGAACAUCAAUUGUCUGCACUUUACAGCACAUCUUUUAAAGUUAAAUACCUGCUUUCUGAAACACUGCUUUGCUGCUCUCUUCAUGCAUUAAAUCAAUACUAUGAAUUUUCAAAUCAGAGCAUCAAGUAUUAUCAGCAGCCCAGAAAAUGCCCCAAAUCUAGAAGCACCACUGAGAAGAUCGGCGAUGAUGGCCUCUUUCUGAAAGAAACCACAAGUGGUUUAGCGAAUUCAGGGACAGUAAAACAAGUGAUUUCAAGAUAUGAUAUGUUUUGAACAUCAGGACAUGAGAUCAGAUUUCAUAUAAUUGUUCCAGAGCUGUUAUCCUGUGUGGGGAAGAGCCUUGUUUUAUGACACUAUGGGAAGAAAAGACUGCUCACAGUGCCAGGAAUACCAUCUAAACACCAUCUAAAUUCUUACUUUACUCAUUGACUUCCCAGCUGGGCACUCACACCCAUUUGCCAGGCGUUGGAAGGAGAGGGCAUUGGAUGAGAAUGAAACUUAGCAGGAUUUUGGAUGCAGGGUGUCUACUUCCUACUCCUCUGAACAAAAAGGAGUGUGCUGUCUGAAGAAUAAAUAUUGUUAAUUUUUUAAAUCCUAAGUAUUACUUUUUCUGUUGAAGAAAUAUUUGCAGUGAACACCUUUUUUUGGCGGGGGGGGGGGGUCCCUGCACCCAUGGCCUGUGGAAGUUCCCAGGGAACCCAAGACACAGCAGCAACUAGAGCUGCAGCAGUGACAUCGCUGGCCCCUUAACCCACUGUACCACAAGAGAACUCCUGAAACUCUUCACUGAGGAAAGCCUGGCUAUGAACAAAUCGUGGUUAGAACAGUUGCCUAUAUCUCUCUGCGAUAGCUGUUUGAAUUUUUAUUAUAAUGGUUCAAAUGGAAGAAAUAAAACUAACAAGUAUAAGGCCGUAGCAGCUGCGUCAUCUCCAUGUACUUUGAAAUAUCAGCCCUGAUUGUUGUCUCCAAUGGGAAAGUAUAAUUCUUAACUAUGACAGAAGACUCUCUUCUCUGCGUCAUUGUUUGGCUUUUUUCUCUAUCUAUAACUGAAAACAUGUACAUCUGGAUUUCUGAGCAACCUUGCUGUAAAAAUCUGACUCAAGAUAAAGAAUAAAAUCUCACUGUACAAUUCUGACUCUAUUAAACUGUACAGAUGAUCAAUUCUUCUGAGACCUCCAAUUCAUUAAGAAAGGAUCUAAGUUUGACAACUCAUCAAAAUAGAUGAGGAAGAAAAGAAAAAUAAAAUAAAUGUCCCUUCAUUCAAAAGAGUGGAGAGAAAGAGGGCAUUAAAUCAUGAGUGUAAAAACCGGGGGAAAAAAUGCUUUAUCCCUCCAAAUUCUGGAACCAUGUCUUUAAGCACAAAAGACACACUUCAGGAAGAUUUCCUAAUAAAGUGGUGGAACCCUUACGGAAAAUGUUACACCAAGAAAUGUCACAGUUUCCGUGAAAAGGCACGUAAGUUCAAGAAGUACUUGACAAUUUAUGGAAAGACAAUUUACAAAAAAAAUUGGAAUGUUUUAGAAUAUAUCCCAAUUUUUCAUGUGGACAUCUGGGUACUAAAAAGCAAACUAUUAGUGUGGGCUUGAAGAAGGGUGGAUGGACUUAAUAUUGUAUUCUGUUUCUCUAUGUUCUUAUAAAUCCAAAUUUCUAUUCUCAAUAAUGAACCUACGAUAAGCAUAUAACAAUAAGCACAUAUCAAUUACACAGAUGCUCUUCCACUGUUUAGUCAUGCUACAUCUUUUAUAGCCAUUUUGUAACCAAAGGACAAGGUUCUGAAACUUCAUUAUUAAAUAUUGAUAUUUGAAAGCUGUUCUUAUGAGUAUCUGUCUGCAAGGGAAAGAAACUGAAAAAAUUAUAACUAAAAAACUUCAGGAUUAUCUGUAAAUCUCACCAGUAAAGUCUUUUUUAAUUACCAGGUAAAAGAAUCUUGAUCUAACUGAAAUUUGGGAGCCAAGAAUUAUUUUUUAAUAUUAUUCCUACUUGAGUCAUGUUUUCUUUUCUUUUCUUUUUUUCUUUUUUGGCCACCCCGAGGCACAUGGAGUUCCAGGGCCAGGGAUCAGACCCAAGCAGCAGUUGCAACCUACGCCGCAGCUGCAGCAACAUCAGAUCCUUUAACCCACUGUGCCAGGCCAGGGAUCGAACCUAUGUCCUGGUGCUACAGAGAGGCCACCAAUCCUGUUGUGCCACAGCAAGAACUCCCAGUCAUAUUUCCAACAACGACUUUUCAACUUCUCUCUACAGUGCUUUAAGCUGUUUUUCUCAGAAACUGAAAGUUAUAGGUAUUUGUAUUUGAAACUGCCGUAUGUUACACAGUUUCAGUAUGUCAUUGGAAAGAGAAGGUGUUUAUUCCUAUAUAUGAAAUAUCAGGAGAAAAACAUACCAUAUACAGCAUAUGUGCAUUUAGGAAAAGAGAGUAAACAAGCAGACAACCAGAGCUACAAAAGAA